UACGGAGGGGGCUAGCGUUGUUCGGAAUUACUGGGCGUAAAGCGCACGUAGGCGGCUUUGCAAGUUAGAGGUGAAAGCCCGGGGCUUAACCCCGGAAUUGCCUUUAAGACUGCAUCGCUUGAACAUCGGAGAGGUAAGUGGAAUUCCGAGUGUAGAGGUGAAAUUCGUAGAUAUUCGGAAGAACACCAGUGGCGAAGGCGACUUACUGGACGAUUGUUGACGCUGAGGUGCGAAAGCGUGGGGAGCAAACAGG
rnacentral:rRNA from 1 species